GUGGGGAAUUUUGGACAAUGGGCGCAAGCCUGAUCCAGCAAUGCCGCGUGCAGGAAGAAGGCCUUCGGGUUGUAAACUGCUUUUGUACGGAACGAAACGGUCCUGGUUAAUACCUGGGGCUAAUGACGGUACCGUAAGAAUAAGCACCGGCUAACUACGUGCCAGCAGCCGCGGUAAUACGUAGGGUGCGAGCGUUAAUCGGAAUUACUGGGCGUAAAGCGUGCGCAGGCGGUGCUGUAAGACAGGCGUGAAAUCCCCGGGCUCAACCUGGGAAUUGCGCUUGUGACUGCAGUGCUGGAGUACGGCAGAGGGGGAUGGAAUUCCGCGUGUAGCAGUGAAAUGCGUAGAUAUGCGGAGGAACACCGAUGGCGAAGGCAGCCCCCUGGGCCUGUACUGACGCUCAUGCACGAAAGCGUGGGGAGCAAACAGGAUUAGAAACCCUUGUAGUCC
rnacentral:rRNA from 1 species